CACGCAGGUGGCGAGAUAAGUUGGAUGUGAAAUUCCCGUGCUUAACAUGGGGACUGCAUCCAAAACUGUUGAACUGGAGUACUGUAGAGGGAGGUAGAAUUCCACGUGUAGCGGUGAAAUGCCGUAGAGAUGUGGAAGAAUACCAGAGGCGAAGGCGGCCUCCUGGACAGAUACUGACACUGAGGUGCGAAAGCGUGGGUAGCAAACA
rnacentral:rRNA from 1 species